AUAAGUCUGUGAGGAGAGAAGGAAUGGUCACUGAAGUCGCAGAUAUGAUGCUUCAGAUGGUUUUUAAUGGAAGCAUAUCAGUGUAUGACAUGGAUAUUGAAAGAAAGCCGUACCAUCGGAAUUGCACCUGUGCACUGCAGGGUUUGCCCAAAAACUUGUCCUCAGCACAGGCAUAUAUCCUUCACUCAAAAAGGGACACCGAACUAUUGUUCGUUGUCCGUAGAUGAUUCCAAGUUCUUUUUACAGGCUUCUUCCGUCAGGAACGGAGAAAUUUCCUGCGAUUAGGAGAUAAUACUUUUUCAGUCAUAUGCUUUGAAGGCGCUGCACCAAUUCCGACUUUCUAUGAUGCAGUAAAACGGACAAUGGCCUAAGAAGAAAACUCGUUUUAAUGAUCAAUGUGAUUUUGGCUAUCACUGGAAGCUAGAUUUCCCGUCCUGAGGUAAUGGUUUCCGCCUUCCAGUGGCUUUCUAAAUAACCAAAUAUGCAUGAAGAACUGAGUCGUCCCACUGGUUUUCAAUCUGUU
rnacentral:lncRNA from 1 species